CAGAAAUUGACAAUGCUGGUAACUCCAUCUUGGAUUUCCUAACCUCUAGAAUGAGAUUUUACAACUCUUCAUCCGACAAAAAAAGGAUCGCCUUGAGCCAGAAUACACAUGAGUCCUUCCACUGUGGAAAUUCCUGUGAACUUGCAAACCAGCUUUCAUAGCAGGAGGAGGCAAGAGAACAGGUGAUGCCACAAGAUCUAAUUAAAGGGUAGCUGUCAACUAGGUGCAUGCAAGCCCUUUGAGGUGCAUGUGAACCCUUUGAUCCUACUACAGUGCCCUUCUGCGUGUCCCCUCGCUCUAUAAAAUCUGUGGACUAAGGUCUGGACUUUGUGGAGAAUAGCUAUGCAGCUGCCAUGGAUCGUCUUCUGCCCGAUCUCCUCUGUGUCAGUCAGUUACCUGAAUAAAAUUCUGUGUAAACUCUA